rnacentral:rRNA from 1 species
GGAAGUAAAAGUCGUAACAAGGUUUCCGUAGGUGAACCUGCGGAAGGAUCAUUACCGAGUUGAUUCGGGCUCCGUCCCGAUCCUCCCACCCUUUGUAUACCUACCUCUGUUGCUUUGGCGGGCCGCGGUCUUCCGCGGCCGCCCCCCGAUUUUGGGGGGUGGCUAGUGCCCGCCAGAGGACUAUCAAACUCCAGUCAGUAAACGUUGCAGUCUGAAAAAAAUAUUAAAUAAACUAAAACUUUCAACAACGGAUCUCUUGGUUCUGGCAUCGAUGAAGAACGCAGCGAAAUGCGAUAAGUAAUGUGAAUUGCAGAAUUCAGUGAAUCAUCGAAUCUUUGAACGCACAUUGCGCCCCUUGGUAUUCCGGGGGGCAUGCCUGUUCGAGCGUCAUUUCAACCCUCAAGCUCUGCUUGGUAUUGGGCACCGUCCUUUGCGGGCGCGCCUCAAAGACCUCGGCGGUGGCGUCUUGCCUCAAGCGUAGUAGAAUACACCUCGCUUCGGAGCGUAAGGCGUCGCCCGCCGGACGAACCUUCUGAACUUUUCUCAAGGUUGACCUCGGAUCAGGUAGGGAUACCCGCUGAACUUAAGCAUAUCAAUAAGCGGAGGA